CCAUGCGUCUUUCCUUCGGCCCCGAGCAGCCGCGCCGCCGGAACUUGCGAACCCCGCCGCCACCUCGACUCUUCCGCGUCCGGUGCGACGCCGGCACAUCCAUCGCAUGCCGGUGAGCUCCCCAUCGAGCAGUAGCUGCCGCGCCGCCGGAACUUGCGAACCCCGCCGCCACCUCCACUCUUCCGCGUCCGGUGCGACGUCGGCGCAUCCGUCGCAUGCCGGCGAGCUCCCCAUCGAGCAGUAGCUGCCGCGCAGCCCACCUACUUUGCCUUUUCCCGUCCUUCCCUACACUUCUCUCACCUCUCUCUGCCUCGCAUCCACGGGGACCCCGGGACGCCGCCGGCACGCGGAAAUACGCCGCCCCAACUGGAUCGAUGCCCUGCUCCAUCGCCUGCUCUCCUACCAUCCGUCCUCACCCCGCCGCCACCUCGACUCUUCCGCAUCGGGUGCGACACCGGCGCAUCCCUCGCAUGCCGGGACCCGAGGCACCGCUGGCACGCGGAACGAUGCCGCCCCAGCUGGAUCGACGCCCUGCUCCAUCGCAUGCUCUCCCGCCGUCCGUCCUCAUCUCGAAUCGAUCAUGCCGGCAGCUGUCAUUGCCAGAUCCUAGCUUGGCCGCCUGCUGAAAGAUCCAGCGCCUUUGUGCCUCUCACCGUCGAGGGAGGUAGGAAUGACGGAGCCGUGCAUGUGUUGGCGCCCAUGUGGUGCGUGCUGAGCCACCGCCUUGCGUAGCGGCUAUAGUCCUACGGCGCGCCCUACCUCGAGCAACACACAUGGGUGGCGGCUGAGACGUCUGAGGAGCUUCAGCAGGAGGUGGUGAUCCAGUGGCACUCCUUCCAGUACAACACUAACCUAUGCAAAGUGGCCCUUUAUUUCCCCUGCCCAGCUCCAAUCUUUGAUCCGUCCAUGCUUGAGGUAAUAUGUACAGAGAACGAGGCUGCCGAGCCAAAUUUGUUGAACGAGGCUGUGAAGUUUGAGGUAAUAUUGCUGCUACCUUCGUUUUGUUUUUUGGUGAUGGUCACCUCUGUAUCAACUCAACAGGUAGUAUCUAUCUGUUAGUGCUAUUUCUGCAAUUUUGUAAGCCAGAUUUGUGCCAAGUGCAUUGCAUAAUAUAUCUCUAAUAGGUCCAUUGCUAUUUCUGAGAUCUUCCAUCAAUGUUUAUUACAACAGAAAAAUGGUCCUUAUCACAUAUAUAGUAUGCACUGGCAACUUAUAUAUACGAUGGUUGAUAAAAAUUACUUCAGGGUAUCCAUUCUGCUAUAUUUUAGAUACUCAACAAAAUUUGUGACAUCUAAUCUGGUAGAGAAAAUAGUAUGAUACAUUCUUUUUUCUUUUGCGAAUUCAGUCCAAGAUAUUCUUUUCUUACCUACAGAUAAUUUCGUAUGGAUGACUUCAACAUGAUUUAGUUUCCAGCCUGUAUAGAUUAGUCUUAUUAUGAGCUACCUAUAAUUUUUUUAGGCUUUUAGUUUUAGUUAUGGUGAUGGACUGUGCACAUGAUUCAAUAAAGAACUGCAGCAAGCAUUAAUUUUUACAUGCGUGAAGCAUUUUACAAUAAAUUUCCUAUUAUUCAUCAGCUAGCUGAAUGAACGGAGACUGUACGACAAGGCGAACAAACACACUAAAUAUCACGAGUCAUAUUAAUUCCUAGCUAUUUUUACAAUUGCAUUUCACUGGAAGUUUCCUGUUGAUUAUAAUAAUGUUCACCAUAGAUAUCUAAAGUUUGUGGUUCAAUUUAUGAUCUGCAUUGGUCUAGAUACUAUUGCUGGAAGUUGACGUUGACACCCAGUAAGAUCCUCCUGGAGCUGCCUUCUCUGAGCAUAUCUCCAAUCAAGCAUCUACUAAUUCACAUCGUAAAUGUUAAAUUUGUGAUAGGCUUACUAUAGACAAAUGUUUCUGAAUAUUAUGGUAUAUCAGAUGUUACAGAGUAAAUUAUCAAUUUACUCUACAUGAUACAUUAAUCUUUUUUGUUUUUGUUUCUAUUCUAUUUAUGGUGGAAAAAUGGUUUCUUCACCAUUUGGUUGAUGUUAAAUUAAAACAUUUUUGUAUGCCUAUCGAAUAUAUGUUAGUUCAACCGAUAUUCCAAAUUACAUUUUUAUAUUGUGCUGCUUAUUACAGUUUUUUCCUCCAAGGAAACAACACCAAGGCACCCCAUGAGUAUUUGUCAGUUCAACUGAUAUUCCACUUUUGCAUAUUGUAGUACUUCUAUAGUUAUUUCAUCUCAGGAAACAACACCAAGGCAAUAUAUUUUUACCCUGUUUAUAACAGCCUAAUUAUUUCCAACAAUAGAGAUUGAGGCUAUCUUAUUAAAUGUUCCUUUUUGCACGCUGUUGAUCAGCUACAUAAUAUCCUUCUGAUAUAUGACUAAUUUGAAAGAGAAACAAAAAACUUUUCCUAAACUAUGAAAGACAUCAUUAUUCUGAUUAAAAUCAUUCUCACAGGUGACGCCAUGGCACCAUCCAUGAGAGUAUUAAGGAUCCCGAGGGAAAGAGUUGCGAUGGGCCGAUGGCGCAUCUAUUCACACCAUGGACAUUCAUUGCCUGCUACUCAUGCGACCACUCUGAAGUUGCAGGUACAUGUAAUGCGAUGGUCUGACACGAGUGCAAUGCUUGCUUGUUUGGAGUUCUUCUGCUUCUUCUUCUUCGAUCAAGGGAUAGGUUCUGGGUCGGGAGCCUGGGAUUAGCAGGGUGGAUGUCAUUCUUCUUCUUUUUCGUCUAAUUUCAUCCAUAGUCGGAUCCUGCUCUUCUGUAUGAUGAUUGCUAUGUUUUGAUGAACUAUUGUAUUCAGGUUAUAGCUUGU